CUCCACUACCUUGUCCCUGCUACAAAGAAGGGUGUAUGCGUCCCCUUUAUAGACAAACAAGUCUACUAAUUCAGAGCCGAGGUUUAUGGGCUCUGAAUAAGGUGAGCAGAUUGCAACCGCACAUAUAUGCACUUUCUUCUAUUUUGGACCUAUUACACUAGAUCCUCUCUUAUGUUUUUGUGUAUUACAAGCACAUCAAAGACUCAGAGGAAGAGGGACAGUGUCACCGUAGUACACAACCACUAAAGUGAUCUGAGCCAGUCUUAUGUGGCUCAG